rnacentral:rRNA from 1 species
CCUACGGGAGGCAGCAGUAGGGAAUCUUCGGCAAUGGACGGAAGUCUGACCGAGCAACGCCGCGUGAGUGAAGAAGGUUUUCGGAUCGUAAAGCUCUGUUGUAAGAGAAGAACGAGUGUGAGAGUGGAAAGUUCACACUGUGACGGUAUCUUACCAGAAAGGGACGGCUAACUACGUGCCAGCAGCCGCGGUAAUACGUAGGUCCCGAGCGUUGUCCGGAUUUAUUGGGCGUAAAGCGAGCGCAGGCGGUUAGAUAAGUCUGAAGUUAAAGGCUGUGGCUUAACCAUAGUACGCUUUGGAAACUGUUUAACUUGAGUGCAGGAGGGGAGAGUGGAAUUCCAUGUGUAGCGGUGAAAUGCGUAGAUAUAUGGAGGAACACCGGUGGCGAAAGCGGCUCUCUGGCUUGUAACUGACGCUGAGGCUCGAAAGCGUGGGGAGCAAACAGGAUUAGAUACCCCAGUAGUC